AGCAGUGACAGCACGCUGACAUGAAGACAGCUGUGAGCUCCUCCUCCUUCAUCAUGUACGAUAAAGGGAGAUCUCCCAUCACUGAGUUUUCAUUUAUGUCUUUGCUCCUCUCUGUGUGAAAUGUCUCUCAUUUUGUUUCUCUCUCUCUCUCUGCUCUCAGACUUUGUGUUCUCCCUCACGAUCAAACAAACGCCCGUAAACCAGCUGAUAAAACCUGAACAAGA